GAGCUAGUGAGGUGUAAUGGUUUGAGUGUUGGACUACGAAUCUGGAGACCAGGGUUCAAUUCCCAGCUCGGCCA